AAUUAGGUUUUAUUCAAAACCACACACAGAGUAAACCCCUGUCUU
rfam:Picea glauca, whole genome shotgun sequence.